GACGAACGCUGGCGGCGUGCUUAACACAUGCAAGUCGAACGGUGAAGGGGCCUGCUUUUGUGGGUCCUGGAUGAGUGGCGAACGGGUGAGUAACACGUGAGUAACCUGCCCCCUUCUUCUGGAUAACCGCAUGAAAGUGUGGCUAAUACGGGAUAUUCUGCGCCUGCUGCAUGGUGGGUGUGGGAAAGAUGCGCCUUUGGGUGUUUUUGGUGGGGGAUGGGCUCGCGGCCUAUCAGCUUGUUGGUGGGGUGAUGGCCUACCAAGGCGGUGACGGGUAGCCGGCCUGAGAGGGUGGACGGUCACACUGGGACUGAGACACGGCCCAGACUCCUACGGGAGGCAGCAGUGGGGAAUAUUGCACAAUGGGCGCAAGCCUGAUGCAGCGACGCCGCGUGAGGGAUGGAGGCCUUCGGGUUGUGAACCUCUUUCGCCAGUGAAGCAGGCCUGCCUCGUUUGUGGGUGG
rnacentral:rRNA from 1 species